GUACCAGACUCCUACGGGAGGCAGCAGUGGGGAAUAUUGCACAAUGGGGGAAACCCUGAUGCAGCGACGCCGCGUGAGCGAUGAAGUCUUUCGGUAUGUAAAGCUCUAUCAGCAGGGAAGAAAGAAAUGACGGUACCUGACUAAGAAGCCCCGGCUAACUACGUGCCAGCAGCCGCGGUAAUACGUAGGGGGCAAGCGUUAUCCGGAUUUACUGGGUGUAAAGGGAGCGUAGACGGCGAUGCAAGUCUGAAGUGAAAGGCGGGGGCCCAACCCCCGGACUGCUUUGGAAACUGUAUAGCUGGAGUGCAGGAGAGGUAAGUGGAAUUCCUAGUGUAGCGGUGAAAUGCGUAGAUAUUAGGAGGAACACCAGUGGCGAAGGCGGCUUACUGGACUGUAACUGACGUUGAGGCUCGAAAGCGUGGGGAGCAAACAGGAUUAGAUACCCUCGUAAU
rnacentral:rRNA from 1 species